AUUAAUGCCCUGGGAUUUUCGCUUCCGCGAUACAAUGCCCUGGGUCAAUAGACCGCUUUUGCGGUCUCCCUUGUGUUGACUAGGACCGCUUCUGCGGUCCUUAAUCGCUUUCACGGUCUCCGCCUACGUGUCGAAUUGGCCAUUUCUAGUGUCGCCCAGCUGGCCCAAGACCGCUACUGCGGUUGAUUUACCGCGUCUGCGGUAGCCGCUUUCACGGAAAUUCUUCCACUUCUGCAGAAAUACCAGAAGCUUGGCCAACAGAUCUGCUGCAUUUCCAAAAAUCCUCGCUUUCAUCAUCCGAUUUCACCCUGAUGCCCUCGGGCCCCCAACCAAAUGGAUAAAUAUGUCCCGUUACCUUAUCCAAACUUUCUUGCAACAUAAAAACGCUAUCAUAAACAUCAAAAUCAUCCAAUUUCCACGGAUUCAAGCCUAAGCUAAACUAAAACUUUCAAAACUUGCAUUUGCUCCAAAAACCCGACCAAAACAACUCCAAAUGAUCUAACAAUUUGCACACAUAUCAAAAAUCACCUAACGGAGCUACUGCAACCGUUUGAAUUUGAUUCCGAUUCCCGGAUCAAAAUAUCACCUAUCAACCGGACUUCGCCAAAUUUCUAACUUAGCCAAUUAAAGCCUAAUUCUACACCGGACCUCCAAAUUUAGUUCUGCUUUCGCUCCUAAAUCACAAAUCACCGUCCAAAACUAGUCAAACCAUCGAAAAUCCAUUCCGAGUCCUCUAACUGAUAAGUCAAUGUUCGGUUGACUUUUCAAAACUAACUUCCUCUAAAAGAGACUAAUUGUCUCAUUUCUAUCCAAACUCCAUCCGAAUUACUCCAAACUCUCCAAAUAUACAUAUUGAAACAUAUAACAGCAUAAAAAGGGGAAAAUGGGGCAGAAAUACAUGGGACGACAGGUCAGGUCGUUACAAGUUAAUAUUGUCACACCUCCUUUUUCACUACACCCGCAAGGGCGUAAAGGAGUUUUUUCAAUUAAAGGAUAAUCGAAACAUGAUUUAUCAUUGUUAUUCAGAAUCGCCACUUGGGAGAUUAAUGAUGUCCCAAGUCAUCGGUCGCAUCCCGAACCGAGGAAACAUAUGACUCUGUUAACAGUCCGCGAACCAGAAAUCCAAUUAAGGAAUUCUGUUAACCCGGGAGAAGGUGUUAGGCAUUCCCGGGUUCUGUGGUUCUAGCACGGUCGCUUAACUGUCAUGUUUGAUUUUAUUUGAUUUCAAAACAUGUUCUAGCUUAUGCGCUUUUUAAUUGUAAAUCGCUUUAUAAUAUUGUCAAAUGCAUCUCGAACCAGUCACAUCAAUGCACCCGUGGUGGUUGACACAUUUCGACUCCGUUGAGAUUGUGAUUUGGGUCACAUAAAUGUACACCCUAGUUUAGGAAUAUAAUAUUAUUAAAAGCGCAUCAAAAGUGUUUAAUGCGUUAUUAUCUUUGGGAAGGUCAUGAAAUUCGCUAAACGUUCCAUCCCGAAUUCUAAGUAUUUUUAAUUAAGCAUUGAAUGAGGGCCCCGCAAUUUGCAUUUUACUUGGCGAGGCUCGUCUCAUUAUUAAGGCCAAUCCUAAAGUGACUAUGAUUUUUCUAUUUAUUUUGUCUCUAAAAUAAAGAGAUGGUCCUACUUAGUUAAUAUAUUUUAGAGGGCUAAGCACUUAUGAUUCAAAUUUAGAUUGAUCCAACCCAGUAAGCAUUUAUAAAGGACUGAGCAGCUUGGGCCUAUUGAUGCGGAACUCAACUGCUGCGGAACCCAACUGCUGCGGAACCAAAGCCCAACGCAUGAUCCAAUUUAAAAGGCAGUUGUAGGACGCGACUCGAAGAUCGAUUCCUGGCGGAAGCACUAAGACAUUCACAAAUGAAUUUGAACAAACCAAUUAAUCCCAAGGCACAAAAUUUGAAGGUCACCUUUUGCACUUACCACUAAUUUUACAGUAAAUCUUUGUUUCACGCAAACCGAGGCAUGGGUGACAAAUUUACUUAUUUAAUUUUACUAGUGAGUUCCCAAUACUAUAGAAUGUGAUAGCCAAAUUAGAGAUAGGAGUUUGAUUUUUACGACAGUGACAACAGCCUGAGUAACGACUCAGAUUCAGAACCGAGCAACUAUGUUAAGAUUAGUUCCAAUCAACACUAUUCAAUUAAUACUGGAUCACUGAAACUGAUAUACUGAAAUGUGAACCUAUUUCUAUAACUGCUAAAAAUGAACUAAACUACAUUAUAUUACACUACACUACGCUAAUAACACAAGUUAAACCGAAUUACGAUUACUGACUACUGGUUCACAUGCUCAUAAAAUCAAUUCACCAUUCAUGAGUUAAGAGUGGUCAUCAAACAAUCUAGUUACUUCAAAGCUAGUUUUCAGUCCAUUACACAUUAUCAUUCAAAACAGUCUACCACAAAAGGUCUAAAACAAUGAGUUGAAUUAACUAGCUGUGAGGCAAUUAACUAAUGAAACAAUAAGGGCUCAGUGAAGAUCAAGCAACCAUUGCACUUCCAUUCCCUGGGAGAUAUUACAGCAAAACAAGUUCAAAUGUGUACCUGGGAUUGGAAAUGAAUAGGAAGAAGGAGAAAUUAGCAACGGCAGCUCAACAAUAGUGAUCGAAGUUUCAAACAGCAGUCAAACAUGAUCGAGUUCAACCUAGAAAUAACUCAGGAAUCAAGAACUAGUUUUAAAACCAAAGAGAUUAGUGUUGCAAACCAAUCACAUCAACAGAAUGCACACAAUGAACCCGAUAUCAACUUAAACUUUCAACAACCCAAAAAAUCCACCAAAACCAGUUUGAUUAAGCCUACAACCACUUGAAAUCACCUAGAAACUUCUGGAAUUCCAGCAAACAAAUGUGGAACUGGAAAAUGUAACCCAAUAGCUAAAAAAUUUAAAACUAUUCAAUAGAACAGUACAUUUUUUUUGAGUUUUCUGUUUUUUUUUUAUUUUUGGUUUUUUAGUAUUGAGUUUCAAGUUUCGGAUCUAGAAUUGAGAGAAUUUUUUGGGGGGAAAUUUUAGGGGCUCCAAACUUGUGUGUUAAGGCACUAUUCAUUGCCUUUUAUAGGUAAAAUGAGGGCAACCCUCAGAUUUUAUGUUUACACUAUCAGUCCUUGCUUAUUUUCAGCUUUGGUCCUUUAUUUUCUAACUUGUUCCUCAAGCCGGUCCUUUAACUUGUAAAAAUAUGCACUAAAGUCCUAUUCUAGAAGAAUAUAAGCUAUUCUAGUGUGAUAUAAAACAUUCUUUCUAUCUAGGAGUUACCUAAAUACCCCUGAAUAUUCCCUAAAAUUUAUUAACUAAGUCACAAUUAACCCACCCUUUUUCCCUGAUUAAAGCUACUAGUUACAAACCAAUUCACCUAAAUUUAAACUAAUUGGACAAUUAACUAAGUAAAGAAACAAAUUGCAUUACACAUUCAGGAUUAACUAACUAAUACAAGCUUAAACCUAUUAAAAUCAUAUAUGAAGUACUGCCGUGAAGAACCAAUCAGCCUUACUUAAUUAAACUUAAAAUAUGGAAUUAUUAAUAUAAUUGCUAAUCAAACUGAUUUAAACAAACUCAUUAACACUAAAUCAUAAGGAAUCAGAUUCAAACAAGGCACAAACCAUCAUAACAGAUUGACAAUGAAUUACACAAUUAUCAGAUUAAAACCAAAAAUUAAAAUGAAUUAAAAUCUAAACGGGAUGAACAAACAAAUGAAAUCGAGCAUAAAAUCAUAACAACAAUCAAAACAUGACUGAUACAACCAAAAAAAGAAUUAACACAACUAAAAAAAUCAAUCUAACACAUAAAACUGAAUAAUAUUGACUAACAAUUAACAAACUAGAAAUCACGAGAACGAAGAGAAGAAACAAUAGAAUUGAAAGAGAAAACUUACUAAUUUCAGAAUCCUUAUGGCCAACUAUCUAAAUUAAUUUUUGAUUAAUGCUAUUUGUCAAUUUCGUCAGAAAAUAGGCAUAUAACAUCAAAUAAAAAAUCAACUGACUCUGAAACGCCUCACAAUAGACCCGACUUCAUAAAUCUUAGAUUUGAAAUUCAACGAGUUCCGAUAGGGUUUCAGGGGUUUUGGUUAGGGAUUAGGGAUAAGGGAGGUAAGAUGAGUGUAGGGUAUGAAUUUGGGGCCAUUUGGACAAGGUAAGCUUUUGUCCAAAAAGUUUAGAUUCAAUAUUCGAGCCAUUUGGCCAGGAUUUGAGAGAAACGGGUGGUUGAUUCGUAAAAGGAAGGAGAAGGAUAACCAUGGGUGUAAUUUUGGUGGCGCUUGGAGGUUCUCCGCCGUCGUGGGCGAUUUCCAGCGGCGGAGGUAGGGCGAAGGAGUGCCGGAGGUGUGGUGGGGCGAUGGUGGCGUUAUAGGGAAGGGUUGGUAUGAGGAAGGGGAAUUAUGUUUUAGGGUUUAAGGAUAUUUUUAGACAGUUUUGUUAAUUGGCUAAAUUAGAUCUAGGUAGUU
rnacentral:lncRNA from 1 species